rnacentral:rRNA from 1 species
UACGUAGGGUGCAAGCGUUGUCCGGAAUUAUUGGGCGUAAAGAGCUCGUAGGCGGUUUGUAGCGUCUGCUGUGAAAACUCGGGGCUUAACCCCGGGCCUGCAGUGGGUACGGGCAGACUAGAGUGCGGUAGGGGAGACUGGAAUUCCUGGUGUAGCGGUGAAAUGCGCAGAUAUCAGGAGGAACACCGGUGGCGAAGGCGGGUCUCUGGGCCGUAACUGACGCUGAGGCGCGAAAGCGUGGGGAGCAAACAGG